UUUUAUUAGAAAUAAUUAAUAAUAAAAUCUGCUCAAUGAAUAAUUUAAAUAGCCGCAAUACUGUGCUAAGGUAGCAUAAUAAUUUGUCUUUUAAUUGAAGACUAGAACAAAAGAUUUAACAUUUCAACUAAUAUAUUAAUUUUUUAAAAUAAAAUUUAUUCUAAAUGUAAAAAAACAUUUAUUUUUAAGAAAGACGACAAGACCCUAUUGAACUUAACUUUAGUUAAACUGGGGCAGUAAAUUAAUUAUAAUUUUAAUUAUAAUAAUAUAAUAAAAAUCCAAUAAAAUUGAUUAUAAUCAAGUUACCAUAGGGAUAACAGCAUAAUAUUUAUUUAAAGUUCUUAUAUAAAUAAAAGAUUAUGACCUCGAUGUUGAAUUAAUUACCUAUUAAAUUACGCAAUAGUUAAGUAAGGAAGUCUGUUCGACUUUUAAAUAAUUACA
rnacentral:rRNA from 1 species